rnacentral:rRNA from 1 species
ACUUUAACAAUUUAUAUACUGCCAUCUCAAGAAUCAAUUUAAAAAUUUUCUUCUCAAUAAUUAAUAAAAAGUUAGGUCAAGGUGUAAUCUAUAUUAAAGAAUAAGAUGAAUUACAUUAAACAAUAUUUAAAGAUUAUUUAUAAAAAUAUAAAUAUAAAUAAGGAUUUAAAAGUAAUACAACAAUAAUAAUUUUAUAUGAUAAAAACAAUAAAUGUGCACACAUCGCCC